CUUACCUGCAAACAACUAGUAAAGUAAGCAUUUGGUGGUGCUUGAAAACUUAGCUCUGCUUUUGAGAGAAACAUACACAUCAAGCCAUCAAGCUAUUCGGCAUAUGAUUUGCUUAAACAGCAGAUAUCAUAUGUGAUCAAGUACCAGAGCUACAUCAACAACCUCAAAAAUCAAGUUGAGGAUCUCCGAAAUAAAAGAGAAACAGUGCAGAAACCUGUAGAGUCGGCUGAAAGACGGGGAAGAGAUUUAUAAAGCUGUUAAGAAAUGGUUGAGUGAUGUUGAUGAGUUCACCGAAAGGGUAGCAAAAGCCAUCAUUGAGGAUGAAGAUAAAGCAAACAAGGGCAGCUGUUUAAAAUUGAAGUCAUGUCCUAGUUUGAUUCAACGUUACAAGCUUGGAAAGGAAGCAGUGAAAGCUGCAGUGAGUGGGGCCGAUCUGUUAUCCACAGAUUCUUCAAAAGUACAGUUAAAUCGUCUCUUGCAAUCUCAAUACAAUGAUGUAUCUCAUCAUCUUCACCAUUACACAAACUGUUUAUAAAUAA